rnacentral:tRNA from 1 species
UCCCCGAUGGUGUAAUGGCAGCACACUGGCCUUUGGAGCCGAUAGUCGAGGUUCGAAUCCUCGUCGGGGAG